GUAGGUGAACCUGCGGAAGGAUCAUUAACACAAUUAAAUGAUACUUUUAUUCACACACGUGCACUGUUUCGUCCCUUACAAUAAUGAGGAUGAGUCGACUGCAAAUGGUUAGGCCUUAGGUAAACUUUGUUUCCCAACGGUUGGUCGCUCGUCUAUUACUCCUUGAGGGUAUACUCAUUUUGUGAGGCUUUUUUACAGCUCUUCCAUUGCUGUAUUUUUUAUCUUUUUUAAACCCCCUGCUAUUUUUAAC
rnacentral:misc_RNA from 1 species